CCAACAGGGAUUACCUCAGUAACGGCGAGUGAAGCGGUAACAGCUCAAAUUUGAAAUCUGGCCUCACGGUCCGAGUUGUAAUUUGUAGAGGAUGCUUCGAGCAUGGUCUGGCCUAAGUUCCUUGGAACAGGACGUCAUAGAGGGUGAGAAUCCCGUAUGCGGUCAGGUGCCUACGCUCAUGUGAAGCUCCUUCGACGAGUCGAGUUGUUUGGGAAUGCAGCUCAAAAUGGGUGGUAAAUUUCAUCUAAAGCUAAAUAUUGGCCAGAGACCGAUAGCACACAAGUAGAGUGAUCGAAAGAUGAAAAGCACUUUGGAAAGAGAGUUAAACAGUACGUGAAAUUGUUGAAAGGGAAGCGCUU
rnacentral:rRNA from 1 species